rnacentral:rRNA from 1 species
UACGGAGGGUGCAAGCGUUGUCCGGAAUCACUGGGCGUAAAGCAGGUGCAGGCGGCUCGUUAUGUCGGGUGUGAAAUCCCGCGGCUCAACCGCGGAACUGCGCCCGAAACUGGCGAGCUUGAGUGCGAGAGGGGGUGGUGGAAUUCCCGGUGUAGAGGUGAAAUUCGUAGAUAUCGGGAAGAAUACCGGUGGCGAAGGCGACCACCUGGCUCGCUACUGACGCUCAGACCUGAAAGCGUGGGGAGCAAACAGA